AUUGAACGCUGGCGGCAGGCCUAACACAUGCAAGUCGAGCGAGUGGCGGACGGGUGAGUAAUGUCUGGGGAACUGCCUGAUGGCGGGGGAUAACUACUGGAAACGGUAGCUAAUACCGCAUACCAUCAGAUGUACCCAUAUGGGAUUAGCUAGUAGGUGGGGUAACGGCUCACCUAGGCGACGAUCCCUAGCUGGUCUGAGAGGAUGACCAGCCACACUGGAACUGAGACACGGCCCAGACUCCUACGGGAGGCAGCAGUGGGGAAUAUUGCACAAUGGGCGCAAGCCUGAUGCAGCCAUGCCGCGUGUGUGAAGAAGGCCUUCGGGUUGUAAAGUACUUUCAGUGGGGAGGCGUUACCCGCAGAAGAAGCACCGGCUAACUCCGUGCCAGCCGCCGCGGUAAUUC
rnacentral:rRNA from 1 species